rnacentral:rRNA from 1 species
UACGGGGGGGGCAAGCGUUGUUCGGAAUUACUGGGCGUAAAGGGCGCGUAGGCGGCCUUCUAAGUCAGACGUGAAAUCCCUCGGCUCAACCGAGGAACUGCGUCUGAUACUGGAAGGCUUGAAUCCGGGAGAGGGAUGUGGAAUUCCAGGUGUAGCAGUGAAAUGCGUAGAUAUCAGGAGGAAUACCGAUGGCGAAGGCAGGUCUCUGGGCUAGAACUGACGCUCAUGCACGAAAGCGUGGGGAGCAAACAGG